AGAGUUUGAUUAUGGCUCAGGAUGAACGCUAGCUACAGGCUUAACACAUGCAAGUCGAGGGGCAUCACGUGGCAGCAAUGUCAUGGUGGCGACCGGCGCACGGGUGAGUAACGCGUAUCCGACCUGGCCUUCACUCCGGGACAGCCCUCCGAAAGGGGGAUUAAUCCGGGAUGUGUGGAGAAGUCGCAUGGAAUCUCCAUGAAAGAUUCAUCGGUGAAGGAUGGGGAUGCGUCCCAUUAGGUAGUCGGCGGGGUAACGGCCCACCGAGCCCGCGAUGGGUAGGGGUACUGAGAGGUAGGUCCCCCCACACUGGAACUGAGACACGGUCCAGACUCCUACGGGAGGCAGCAGUGAGGAAUAUUGGUCAAUGGGGGGAACCCUGAACCAGCCAAGUAGCGUGGAGGAAUGACGGCCCUACGGGUUGUAAACUCCUUUUAUGCGGGGGUAAUGUACGCCACGCGUGGUGUAUUGCAAGUACCGCAUGAAUAAGCAUCGGCUAACUCCGUGCCAGCCGCUGC
rnacentral:rRNA from 1 species